rnacentral:rRNA from 1 species
AUUGAACGCUGGCGGCAGGCCUAACACAUGCAAGUCGAGCGAGCGGCGGACGGGUGAGUAAUGUAUGGGGACUGCCCGAUAGAGGGGGGUAAAUACUGGAAACGGUGGCUAAUACCGCAUACUAACGGAUAACCCAUAUGGGAUUAGCUAGUAGGGGGGGUAAAGGCUCACCUAGGCGACGAGCUCUAGCUGGUCUGAGAGGAUGAUCAGCCAAACUGGGACUGAGACACGGCCCAGACUCCUACGGAUGCAGCAGUGGGGAAUAUUGCACAAUGGGCGCAAGCCUGAUGCAGCCAUGCCGCGUGUAUGAAGAAGGCCUUAGGGUUGUAAAGUACUUGCAGCGGUGAGGCGUUACCCGCAGAAGAAGCACCGGCUAACUCCGUGCCAGCAGCCGCGGUAAUUC